rnacentral:rRNA from 1 species
UACGGAAGGCAGCAGUGGGGAAUAUUGCACAAUGGGCGCAAGCCUGAUGCAGCCAUGCCGCGUGUAUGAAGAAGGCCUUCGGGUUGUAAAGUACUUUCAGUCGUGAGGAAGGUGUUAAGGUUAAUAACCUUAGCAAUUGACGUUAGCGACAGAAGAAGCACCGGCUAACUCCGUGCCAGCAGCCGCGGUAAUACGGAGGGUGCGAGCGUUAAUCGGAAUUACUGGGCGUAAAGGGCACGCAGGCGGUUAAUUAAGUUGGAUGUGAAAUCCCCGGGCUUAACCUGGGAAUGGCAUUCAGGACUGGUUAGCUAGAGUCUUGUAGAGGGGGUAGAAUUCCAUGUGUAGCGGUGAAAUGCGUAGAGAUGUGGAGGAAUACCGGUGGCGAAGGCGGCCCCUGGACAAAGACUGACGCUCAUGUGCGAAAGCGUGGGGAGCAAACAGGGAUUAGAUACC